AUUGAACGCUGGUGGCAUGCCUUACACAUGCAAGUCGAACGGUAACGCGGGGCAACCUGGCGAUGAGUGGCGAACGGGUGAGUAAUAUAUCGGAACGUGCCCAGUAGUGGGGGAUAGCCCGGCGAAAGCCGGAUUAAUACCGCAUGAGACCUGAGGGUGAAAGCGGGGGAUCGCAAGACCUCGCGCUAUUGGAGCGGCCGAUAUCAGAUUAGGUAGUUGGUGGGGUAAAGGCCUACCAAGCCGACGAUCUGUAGCUGGUCUGAGAGGACGACCAGCCACACUGGGACUGAGACACGGCCCAGACUCCUACGGGAGGCAGCAGUGGGGAAUUUUGGACAAUGGGCGCAAGCCUGAUCCAGCCAUGCCGCGUGCGGGAAGAAGGCCUUCGGGUUGUAAACUGCUUUUGUACGGAACGAAAAGGCUCUGGUUAAUACCUGGAGUUUAUGACGGUACCGUAAGAAUAAGCACCGGCUAACUACGUG
rnacentral:rRNA from 1 species